GACGAACGCUGGCGGCGUGCCUAAUACAUGCAAGUUGAGCGCUGAAGGUUGGUACUUGUACCAACUGGAUGAGCAGCGAACGGGUGAGUAACGCGUGGGGAAUCUGCCUUUGAGCGGGGGACAACAUUUGGAAACGAAUGCUAAUACCGCAUAAAAACUUUAAACACAAGUUUUAAGUUUGAAAGAUGCAAUUGCAUCACUCAAAGAUGAUCCCGCGUUGUAUUAGCUAGUUGGUGAGGUAAAGGCUCACCAAGGCGAUGAUACAUAGCCGACCUGAGAGGGUGGUCGGCCACAUUGGGACUGAGACACGGCACAAACGCCUACGGGAGGCAGCAGUAGGGAAUCUUCGGCAAGGGACGAAAGUCUGACCGAGCAACGCCGCGGGAGUGAAGAAGGUUUUCGGAUCGUAAAACUCUGUUGGUAGAGAAGAACGUUGGUGAGAGUGGAAAGCUCAUCAAGUGACGGUAACUACCCAGAAAGGGACGGCUAACUACGUG
rnacentral:rRNA from 1 species